UACGUAGGGUGCAAGCGUUGUCCGGAAUUAUUGGGCGUAAAGAGCUCGUAGGCGGUGUGUCGCGUCGGCCGUGAAAACCUGGGGCUCAACUCUGGGCGUGCGGUCGAUACGGGCAUCACUGGAGUUCGGCAGGGGAGACUGGAAUUCCUGGUGUAGCGGUGAAAUGCGCAGAUAUCAGGAGGAACACCGGUGGCGAAGGCAGGUCUCUGGGCCACUACUGACGCUGAGAAGCGAAAGCAUGGGGAGCGAACAGG
rnacentral:rRNA from 1 species